rnacentral:rRNA from 1 species
UACAGAGGGUGCAAGCGUUAAUCGGAAUUACUGGGCGUAAAGCGUGCGUAGUCGGUUAUCUAAGUCGGAUGUGAAAUCCCCGGGCUCAACCUGGGAAUUGCAUUCGAUACUGGAUAGCUAGAGUUCGGCAGAGGGAAGUGGAAUUUCGGGUGUAGCGGUGAAAUGCGUAGAUAUCCGAAGGAACAUCAGUGGCGAAAGCGACUUCCUGGACCAGAACUGACGCUCAUGCACGAAAGCGUGGGGAGCAAACAGG